AAAAAUAAAUAUAGACCUAUUGUAGGCAUGCCUGUUAUUUCUGUUAAAAUAGGAGAUCAUUGUUAUCAUGGCUUAUGUGAUAUGAUUGCUAGUGCAAGUGCAAUACCUCAUUCCUUAUACAAAGAAAUUAUGCAUGAUAUUGCACCUGCUGAGAUAGAAGAAAUUGAUGUUACAAUUAAGCUUGCCAAUAGAGAUAUUAUUUCACCAUUUGGAAUUGUUAGAGAUGUUGAUGUCUUGUGUGGGAAAGUUAAAUAUCCUGCUGAUUUUCUUGUUCUUGGUUCCCACAAGAUAGCUUUUGUCCCAUCAUAUUUGGUAGACCCUUCUUGA
rnacentral:rRNA from 1 species